UACGGAGGAUGCGAGCGUUAUCCGGAUUUAUUGGGUUUAAAGGGUGCGCAGGCGGAUUUUUAAGUCAGCGGUCAAAUCGUGGGGCUCAACCCCAUCCAGCCGUUGAAACUGGGGAUCUAGAGUGUGCGAGAGGUAUGCGGAAUGCGUGGUGUAGCGGUGAAAUGCAUAGAUAUCACGCAGAACCCCGAUUGCGAAGGCAGCAUACCGGUGCACAACUGACGCUCAGGCACGAAAGCGUGGGUAUUGAACAGG
rnacentral:rRNA from 1 species